rnacentral:rRNA from 1 species
AGAGUUUGAUCCUGGCUCAGGAUGAACGCUGGCGGCGUGCCUAACACAUGCAAGUCGAACGAAGCGCCCGCGCGGAUUCCCUCGGGAUGAAGCGCGGAUGACUGAGUGGCGGACGGGUGAGUAACGCGUGGGCAACCUGCCCCGUGCCGGGGGAUACCGCCUGGAAACAGGCGCUAAUACCGCAUAAGCGCAUACAGCCGCAUGGGUGUAUGCGGAAAGCUCCGGCGGCACGGGAUGGGCCCGCGCCCGAUUAGCCAGUUGGCGGGGUAACGGCCCACCAAAGCGACGAUCGGUAGCCGGCCUGAGAGGGCGGACGGCCACAUUGGGACUGAGACACGGCCCAAACUCCUACGGGAGGCAGCAGUGGGGAAUAUUGCACAAUGGGGGAAACCCUGAUGCAGCAACGCCGCGUGGGUGAAGGAGCGUUUCGGCGCGUAAAGCCCUGUCAGCGGGGAAGAAGAAAGACGGUACCCGACCAAGAAGCCCCGGCUAACUACGUGCCAGCAGCCGCGGUAAUACGUAGGGGGCGAGCGUUAUCCGGAAUUACUGGGUGUAAAGGGAGCGUAGACGGCGAGGUAAGCCUGAAGUGGAAGCCCGCGGCCCAACCGCGGAACUGCUUUGGGAACUGUUUUGCUGGAGUAUGGGAGGGGUAAGCGGAAUUCCUGGUGUAGCGGUGAAAUGCGUAGAUAUCAGGAGGAACACCGGUGGCGAAGGCGGCUUACUGGACCAUAACUGACGUUGAGGCUCGAAAGCGUGGGGAGCGAACAGAAUUAGAUACCCUGGUAGUCCACGCCGUAAACGAUGAUUACCCAGUGUCGGGGUG